AAAGUACUCCCUCCAUCCCAAAAUUCUUGUCUUAGAUUUGUCUAGAUACAGAUGUAUCAAGUCACAUUUUAGUAUUAGAUACAUCCGUAUCUAGACAAAUCUAAGACAAGAAAUUUGGGACAGAGGGAGUAGUUG
rfam:Triticum aestivum genome assembly, contig: Triticum_aestivum_CS42_TGACv1_scaffold_611875_7DL